rnacentral:rRNA from 1 species
UGGGGAAUAUUCCGCAAUGGACGAGAGUCUGACGGAGCAACGCCGCGUGAGUGAUGAAGGUUUUCGGACUGUAAAACUCUGUUGUUUAGGACGAAAGUGCCUGUUGCAAAUAGUUGCAGGUAUUGACGGUACUGAACGAGGAAGCCACGGCUAACUACGUGCCAGCAGCCGCGGUAAUACGUAGGUGGCAAGCGUUGUCCGGAAUUAUUGGGCGUAAAGAGCAUGUAGGCGGAAAUUUAAGUCUGUUGUGAAAAUGCGGGGCUCAACCCCGUAUUGCGAUGGAAACUGGGUUUCUUGAGUGCAGGAGAGGAAAGGGGAAUUCCCAGUGUAGCGGUGAAAUGCGUAGAUAUCGGGAGGAACACCAGUGGCGAAGGCGGCUAACUGGACUGUAACUGACGCUGAGGCGCGAAAGCGUGGGGAGCAAACA